CCGGGAUUCCCCCAGUAACGGCGAGCGAAGCGGGAAUACCUCAGUGCCCAGGUCUGAAAUCUCCGACCGGACCAGUUGCACGGUCGGCGAAUUGUGGUCUGGAGAGCCGGGCUGUCCCGGAGUCGCGUUCCCAGGGCCCGAAGUCGACUUGGAACGGCGCGCCCAAGAGGGUGAGAGCCCCGUAGGGCCUGGAAACCGGGAGCGACGGGACGAGAGCUCGCGCUCGUCGAGUCGAGUUGUUUGGGAAUGCAGCUCAAAUCGGGUGGUAGACUCCAUCCAA
rnacentral:rRNA from 4 species